UGAAUGCACUUACUGUAAGUCGCUCUGGAUAAGAGCAUCUGCUAAAUUACUCAAA
rfam:Salmo salar isolate Sally breed double haploid chromosome ssa22, whole genome shotgun sequence.